rnacentral:rRNA from 1 species
AUUGAACGCUGGCGGCAGGCCUAACACAUGCAAGUCGAGCGAGCGGCGGAGGGGUGUGUAAUGCCUGGGAAUUGCCCAGUCGAGGGGGAUAACAGUUGGAAACGACUGCUAAUACCGCAUACGAUUGGUUUCCCCAGGUGGGGUUAGCUAGUUGGUGGGGUAAUGGCUCACCAGGGCGACGGUCCCUCGCUGGUCGGAGGGGAUGACCAGCAACACUGGAACUGGGAAACGGUCCAGACUCCUACGGGGGGAGGAGGGGGGGAAUAUUGGACAAUGGGGGAAGCCCGGAUGCAGCCAUGCCGCGUGUGGGAGGAAGGCCUUCGGGUUGUAAGGCACGUUCAGCGAGGAGGCGUUACUCGCAGAGGAAGCAACGGCUAACUCCGUGCCAGCAGCCGCGGUAAUUC